GACGGGGGGGGCAAGUGUUCUUCGGAAUUACUGGGCGUAAAGCGCACGUAGGCGGCUUUGUAAGUUAGAGGUGAAAGCCCAGGGCUUAACCCUGGAAUUGCCUUUAAGACUGCAUCGCUAGAAUCGUGGAGAGGUGAGUGGAAUUCCGAGUGUAGAGGUGAAAUUCGUAGAUAUUCGGAAGAACACCAGUGGCGAAGGCGACUCACUGGACACGUAUUGACGCUGAGGUGCGAAAGCGUGGGGAGCAAACAGG
rnacentral:rRNA from 1 species